GCAUAUCAAUAAGCGGAGGAAAAGAAACCAACAGGGAUUGCUCUAGUAACGGCGAGUGAAGCAGCAAUAGCUCAAAUUUGAAAUCUGGCGUCUUCGGCGUCCGAGUUGUAAUUUGUAGAGGAUGCUUCUGGGCAGCCACCGACCUAAGUUCCUUGGAACAGGACGUCAUAGAGGGUGAGAAUCCCGUAUGCGGUCGGAAAGGCACCCUACACGUAGCUCCUUCGACGAGUCGAGUUGUUUGGGAAUGCAGCUCUAAAUGGGAGGUAAAUUUCUUCUAAAGCUAAAUAUUGGCCAGAGACCGAUAGCGCACAAGUAGAGUGAUCGAAAGAUGAAAAGCACUUUGGAAAGAGAGUUAAAAAGCACGUGAAAUUGUUGAAAGGGAAGGGAUUGCAACCAGACUUGCUCGCGGUGUUCCGCCGGUCUUCUGACCGGUUCACUCGCCGCGUUGCAGGCCAGCAUCGUCUGGUGCCGCUGGAUAAGACUGGAGGAAUGUAGCUCCCUCGGGAGUGUUAUAGCCUCUAGUGAUGCAGCGAGCGCCGGGCGAGGUCCGCGCUUCGGCUAGGAUGCUGGCGUAAUGGUCGUAAUCCGCCCGUCUUGAAACACGGACC
rnacentral:rRNA from 2 species